AACAGGAUUAGAUACCCUGGUAGUCCAUGCCGUAAACGAUGUCUACUAGCCGUUGGGGGAUUUGAUCCUUUAGUGGCGCAGCUAACGCGAUAAGUAGACCGCCUGGGGAGUACGGUCGCAAGACUAAAACUCAAAUGAAUUGACGGGGGCCCGCACAAGCGGUGGAGCAUGUGGUUUAAUUCGAUGCAACGCGAAGAACCUUACCUGGCCUUGACAUAGUAGAGACUUUCCAGAGAUGGAUUGGUGCCUUCGGGAAUCUACAUACAGGUGCUGCAUGGCUGUCGUCAGCUCGUGUCGUGAGAUGUUGGGUUAAGUCCCGCAACGAGCGCAACCCUUUUCCUUACUUGCCAGCAUUUCGGAUGGGAACUUUAAGGAUACUGCCAGUGACAAACUGGAGGAAGGCGGGGACGACGUCAAGUCAUCAUGGCCCUUACGGCCAGGGCUACACACGUGCUACAAUGGUCGGUACAAAGGGUUGCUACACAGCGAUGUGAUGCUAAUCUCAAAAAGCCGAUCGUAGUCCGGAUCGCAGUCUGCAACUCGACUGCGUGAAGUCGGAAUCGCUAGUAAUCGCGGAUCAGAAUGCCGCGGUGAAUACGUUCCCGGGCCUUGUACACACCGCCCGUCACACCAUGGGAGUUUGUUGCACCAGAAGUAGGUAGUCUAACCGCAAGGAGGACGCUUACCACGGUGUGGCCGAUGACUGGGGUGAAGUCGUAACAAGGUAACC
rnacentral:rRNA from 1 species